rnacentral:rRNA from 1 species
CCUACGGGUGGCAGCAGUGGGGAAUCUUGCGCAAUGGGCGGAAGCCUGACGCAGCGACGCCGCGUGCGGGACGAAGGCCUUCGGGUCGUAAACCGCUUUCAGCAGGGACGAGGCCCUCACGGUGACGGUACCUCCAGAAGAAGCCCCGGCUAACUACGUGCCAGAAGCAGCGGUAAUACGUAGGGGGCGAGCGGUAGCCGGAUGCAUUGGGCGUAAAGCGGGCGUAGGCGGCCUGGUAGGUCGGGGGUCAAAUACCGGGGCUCCACCCCGGUCCGCCCCCGAUACCGGCAGGCUUGAGUCUGGUGGGGGAAGGCGGAAUGCCCAGUGUAGCGGUGGAAUGCGCAGAUAUUGGGAAGAACACCGGCGGCGAAGGCGGCCUUCUGGGCCACGACUGACGCUGAGGCGCGAAAGCUAGGGGAGCGAACAGGAUUAGAUACCCGGGUAGUC